rnacentral:rRNA from 1 species
AGUGAUUAGAGUUUGAUCCUGGCUCAGAUUGAACGCUGGCGGCAUGCCUUACACAUGCAAGUCGAACGGCAGCACGGGAGUAAUCCUGGUGGCGAGUGGCGAACGGGUGAGUAAUAUAUCGGAACGUGCCCAGUCGUGGGGGAUAACGCAGCGAAAGCUGUGCUAAUACCGCAUACGAUCUCUGGAUGAAAGCGGGGGACUCGCAAGGGCCUCGCGCGAUUGGAGCGGCCGAUAUCAGAUUAGCUAGUUGGUGGGGUAAAAGCCCACCAAGGCGACGAUCUGUAGCUGGUCUGAGAGGACGACCAGCCACACUGGAACUGAGACACGGUCCAGACUCCUACGGGAGGCAGCAGUGGGGAAUUUUGGACAAUGGGCGAAAGCCUGAUCCAGCAAUGCCGCGUGCAGGAUGAAGGCCUUCGGGUUGUAAACUGCUUUUGUACGGAACGAAACGGUCGCCUCUAAUACGGGUGGCUAAUGACGGUACCGUAAGAAUAAGCACCGGCUAACUACGUGCCAGCAGCCGCGGUAAUACGUAGGGUGCGAGCGUUAAUCGGAAUUACUGGGCGUAAAGCGUGCGCAGGCGGUUAUAUAAGACAGAUGUGAAAUCCCCGGGCUCAACCUGGGACCUGCAUAUGUGACUGUAUAGCUAGAGUACGGUAGAGGGGGAUGGAAUUCCGCGUGUAGCAGUGAAAUGCGUAGAUAUGCGGAGGAACACCGAUGGCGAAGGCAAUCCCCUGGACCUGUACUGACGCUCAUGCACGAAAGCGUGGGGAGCAAACAGGAUUAGAUACCCUGGUAGAAUCG